rnacentral:lncRNA from 1 species
CUGCUCCCCUCGAGCCCGCGUGCCGUCACGCUGUCUGCGAGCCACGUGUUCGGCUGGGAUGAGGGGAAUCGGCCGUUGUUCACUCUCUAAUGUUUCCAGGACCUUGGGAUGUCACACCAGGACAAAACGAGAAGGACUGCACAACUCCAGUGCAAACCUGGUCAGGGUCAACAAUCCAAAAAAGGCUAGAAACUGCUUUUCCAGCUGGCAGCACUGGAGAAUGUAUGAUGUCCACCAGUGUUCCUGCGGCUUCUCUCCUCAGAUCCUUCUCUUCCUCUGGCUGGGGUGAAUCCAGGUAGAGACACAGGUGUUGCACUGGGAGAAACGAGAGCAAAACUACCAAGAAGGCACCAGGGAACGGUUAUUUCUGACAGGUGUCUCCCAGGUUCCUCCCAGGAGAAGCAUCUCCACCAACCUGACUAUCAGCACUUGAACUACCCAGCCCAAUCUUCGUAGCUUGUCUCCAACUUGAACUUUUAUCAUAGCUGACAGAAAAAAAUGCCAUAUGAGUAGAAAAGGUGUUCUCCCUGUUAGGUGCCGGAAACAGAGCACGUGUACAGAGUGCUGGCACUUUCACCGCAGGAGUCACUAAUUGUGUUUAACUUGGCCAUACGGGUGUCUCUCUUGCCUGCUGCAUGGCAGGGAAGCAAGCACUGACACAGAAACCCUUUUGAACCCUCAUGCAGAAUGUGCUGAGCUUCAGAAAGUGGAAGCAGGGAAAGUGGGAAACUGGAAAAUCACUCUCACUGAGUGAAGGCUUGCCAUCGCUUGAUUAGGAUGAUUUAAAUAAUCCAUUAAGGAAGGAGCAGGAGGGAAAAGAAUCAUCCCUUGCUCUCUGCCAGCAAGAGCGAUUCACCCUUAUUAUCUGGCUGUUUUUGGAUGAGCGCACAGAAGCUGCAGGGCCCACGGGAAGAUCGGCGCGGGGGAAUUCGAGAGGAUGUUAUUGCUUAGGAGCGAGGAAGGCGCUGAGCAGCUGAGGCGAGUGCAGCUGGUCUCAAUCACCCGAGCAGCGAGGAAGGGGUGAGGUCAGACCUGCUCUCGGUGGGAAAGGAGAGCCUGCAAGGAGGCAAUAAAACUCUUCCCGAAGCUGUGGACGGGCUGCGC